UACGGAGGGUGCAAGCGUUAUCCGGAAUCACUGGGUUUAAAGGGUGCGUAGGCGGCUUUUUAAGUCAGCGGUGAAAUUUUGCAGCUUAACUGUAACAGUGCCGUUGAUACUGGGGAGCUAGGAUUUGGUUGCUGUGGGUGGAAUGUGUGGUGUAGCGGUGAAAUGCUUAGAGAUCACACAGAAUAUCGAUUGCGAAGGCAGCUCACAAAGCCAAGAUUGACGCUGAGGCACGAAAGUGUGGGGAUCAAACAGGAUUA
rnacentral:rRNA from 1 species